UAGAAGUUGAUUGCCACAAGGUGAGGCAGAUGAUUAUCCUAGGAGUGAUACUGCCAUGUUAUACAAGAAGUGAAGACCAGCUUGCAGAUGUGUUUACUAAGGCAGCGAGAUGAAAGACAAUGGAGUCCAUACUAUCCAGGCUUGGACUCAUUGAUCUUACUCCCAGGAGCUGAUCCCCUCGUCACGAGAUAUCCACUCUUUUUCCCUCAUCAAAGUUUUAUCCCAUUGGGUUUUCUUUGAUGAGGUUUUUAAUGAGGGAAGAUCUCAUGACAAUCCAAGCUUGACUUGUUCCACAUGGUCAAGCUUGAGGGGGAGUGUUGAGAAGAAGACCAAGAAGUGAAGAGAUGAAGCUUUGAGGUUCAAUAGAGUGUUGAGGCUGAGACAGUAACUUUAGAGUUUUAAUGUGGUAACUUUAUUUUAACCACAGUAACUACUUGGGAAGUUACCUGAUGUGAUGAGAAGUUACCUUGGUGAAGAAAAGAGAAGAAAUUCGUCCAAGGAGUGUCAAGGAUAAGGUCUCUCUUGGCUGGAAAGGAUAAGCACCUUUACAGCAAGUGACAGCCUGUCCAAACAUGUGAAGCAUCUCAGUCUAGUAUUUCUAUUGACUUCACAUGCUUAUAGGUCUAGGUUGAAUACAUUGAACAUAGACAUGAUUGUAAUCUCUUUAUAGCUUGUAAUCUCUCAUUUGAAUCAAUUAAUGGAGUUUUGAGUAUUCUCUCUAGUUCUUUAUUCUCUUAGUCUCUCUUAAUCUCCAAAUCUCAUACAAUUUACACUAAUCAUCUCUUGAUCUUUAUUCAUCACUCUAUAAAUACAAAAGUGUAUAUGGGCUUUAAUUAAAGGCCCAUUUCAUAAUAGGAAGUAAAAGUGACGUCACCAUUUCAUAAUCUAUUUUUUCCCUGACCGUCGUUUUAAUUGAUAAUAACAUAAAUCUGAGUGUAGAAAUGAGCUUUAAUUAAAGGCCCAUUUUCUUUUAGGCCAUCAAAGAUCCAUUUUCUGUCACAUUAAAAUGGUGGCAUCUCUCCGUGAAAUUCAUCUGUUCAAUCUUCUCAUCUAUAUUAUUAAAAGAGAAGUACCCAUUUGAAAAUGUUCUUACUUCAUUAAUUAAACUUCUUUUUUUGCUUGUUUUUUUCAGUUGCAUUUAUGAAAUAUCCUAAAACGAAUAAAACUGCCUAAUUUAUUACUUGUCUUUUCGGUUACAUUAAUAAAAUAUGUUUAAAUGAAUUUAAACUUCAUAUUUUAUUGUUUGUCUUUUUCAGUUACCUUAAUGAAAUAUCCUUAAAUAAAUUUGGACAUAAUGUCAUUUAAUCAACAAAAAAAACUCAUGAGUUAUCCUUACGUGCAUAAUUUUAAUAAUGGAGAUUUUUAAAAACGUGCAUCAUUAAAAUGUUACCUAAAACAUGCAGCACUAAUAUAUAACAUGCAUCAAUAAAACUAGAAUUUGACUCACACAAUUGUACGGAUAUUAUUUUCAGUUGAUUAAAUUUAAAAAUAAUUAUUUAUUCAAAAAAUAUUUAAGAAUGGCUAAGUUUUUAGAAAUUAUAUGGUAUUAUUUGCUCAUAAACUCAUUUGUCAUUUGAUAAAUUGUUAGAAAGAAAAUUUUAGCAUAAUAUAACUCAGUUGUCAUUUGCUAAAUUUAUGGUUUUUAUUUAUAUUUUUUAUUAUUUAAUUAUAAUAUUUUCAUUUUAUAUUUGAAAGAUAAAUUAAUUUUCUUUCAAACAAUAUUUUUGUAAAUGUAUUUUUUAAAAAAUAAUCAAUUAAAAUUGUUAUUAUCAAUGAAUAUCAUUAUUUUUCACAUAAUUUGAGUUUUCGUUAACAUCAAAACUUAUCAUAUUUUAGGAUAAUUUUAAUUUAAAAUGUAAUUUUAAUAUUUUUCAAACAAAUUCUAAAAAUAUUUUUUAAAUAUUUUGUUAUAAUUGUUAAAAAAAUAUUGAGUUGCAUUUCAAAUAAAAAUGUAAAGAUAUUAAAAAUAUUCUAAUUAAAAUAUGUAAAAUGUAAUAUAGUUUUAAGGAAAUGGUCAAAAUAAAAAAAAUUACACAUAAAAUAAUCAUGAUUUUUGUUAAUUGGGCGGAUCAUUAUUUAUAUGAUAUCGCACACGAAAGAAAAAUUUCUGUUUUUAAAAUUAUCUAAUUAACUCUAUACUCAUUUUUUUAUAUUUUUUAUAUGAUAUCACACAUUCGUAAAAAAAUAGAUAGUUUAAGAUGCAAAAAAAAAUAUUUACUUAAUGAAUAUAAUAUGAACGAAUAUUACAAAUACAUCAUUUAAUAAAAUAAAUAAUUAAAAACUGAAAAUUCAUAUUCACGCUUGCGCGCGGAUCAGGGUCUAGUACGUUAUUAUUGUAAGAGUUUCUCUAAGCAUUCGUCGGUGGUACAGGAAGAAGUGCUGUAUUACUCCUUAAGUAUCAAGAUGAAGUUAUGGAAAGGAGAUCAAGAUUCAAUUCAUCUUGAUUUGUGGUGUUCCAACUUUUUGGGCUGGUAAAACAAAGCUAACUAGACUUUGAUACGGAUAACUGCUUACUUUAAAAGACCAAAUUAAGAUUGAUCAUGAUUUUUAGUUUUGUUUACAUUGUGGUAGUAUAUUGCUUUUAGAUUUUUAGGCAACAAAAUGAUAUGCAUUGGUCCCUUUAUUAAUUAGAUCGGUUUGUUGGAAUGGUUCAACCAUGACUCCUUUGCUUGGUCGGGAACAUGUUCGUAAAAUAGCUUUGUGUUGACCAAAUAAAAUUGGCCAAAAGCCCAACAACCGAUAAAAUCGUUAGAAAUUAGAACUGAUGAUUCAAUUUAUAAAAAAAAACUUGGUUACAAAUUCAGUUAUAAUUUCAAUGACUUUUCCUUUAGUCGUAGUACAUCAAAUAUAAUUUCUUGUCCUUCAGUGUGCAUUGAUUUAGUUAGAUUUGUUCUUAGCGUGUAUAUAAUGAUAGAUAAUACAAAGAAGAAAAGUUUUGUAUACAUAAUUCUAGAAGUGUUAAAAGUUUUUUUUUUUCAUCAAGAUGUAAGAUGGAAAUGACGUAGAAAUGUGGAUGGGUAUAGAAAGAAAACAAAAUUCUUAACUAUUAUUUAGUUUUCAAAUAUUCUCUUACUAUUAAUUGUAGAAAUAGUAAAGUACAUACAUAAUUAUAUAUAUACAUACAUACAUAUAUUCAAAUGAUACUACCAUAUAUAUACACUGAUAUUUAUAAAAUAUUUUUUUUUUUUAAACUUAUUUGAACUUGUUGACCCAAACUGAACUAUAAUUUAUAUGUUUCAUAGGUUCAUCAUCCGACCCGGUUUUUAAAACAUUGAUGGUAUCUUAUAAAAAUCAUUUGUCAUUUGAUAAAGUUUUUUAAAAAUAAUAUACUUUAUAAUGUGUUUUUAUUUAUAAAUCAUGUUAUUUAAUAUGCUCGUGAAGAUUACUAUAUCUAUUUUAAAAACACACAUGUUUCCUUGCAAAAUGAUAUGCUAUGCUUUUCAUUUUUAUAUGAAAAAUAGUAAACAUAUGAAGUUUCUAAAACAAAUUUAAUACGUAUAUAUUCAAUUAUAUUUUUUUAUUAAUUAGUAUAAUAUUUAAUACAUUUUAUUAAAGUAAAAUAAAGAAUAUGUAUAUAUCAUCUAAAAGUUGAAGUAAAAAAUGUAUUUUAAACGUUUAUGAAAAUUAUUAGUCGUAUGAUUUAUGGUUUUAGAUUAUCUAACUUUUAGGAUAUUCUCAAAAUUACGAGGAUGUUAACUAAUAUUUUUAGCUAAUAAUAUUUUUUCAUUUGAUAUAAUUUAAAAACGAAUAUUCAAAGAUACUGUUAGGAAGAUGAUACUGAAUAUAGUUAUGAAUUUAUGAUUUUCGACAUUAAGUUUAUUAUUGUUUGGCAAGAUCAUUUUCAAUAGGAAAGUAGUUAGUUAUAGUAUAGAUCAUUUAGAUAUAGUUAUUAUCAAAUUUAGAAACUAUUAAAAGCAUAUUGUGUUAAAUUAAUAGAUACAACCUCAGUGGUAUUAGAUUGUAAAUAUUUAUGAAAAUUCAGGGUUAAUUCAAAUUUGUACUCAUAUUUUAAUAUUUAGAUUAUUUCUUUUAUUUAAUGCGUAACUUAUAUAAAAAAUCUCUAGGAUAACUUUAUAAAAGUUUUUAUCACAAAUAUAACAUAUAAGAAUUAAAAAUGACCAAAAUAUUUUAUUAAAAAGGUAAACAUAAUUAUACGCUUAGGGUAACUAAUUUAGAUCUUAGGGUUUAGAGUUAAAAGGUGAGCUUUUAGGAUUGAGGUUAAGGAAGUUGUAAAAUAAAAAUAAAUAUUAAAAUUUUGAAAAGCAAAGUUUUUAAAAUAGUUUCAAAAAUCAUUUUCGAAUUUCAAAAUGAAAAUUUGAAAAAAAUUAAAACAAAAUUUGAACUUUUUGGAAAAUAAAAAAAUUAUAAAAAAUUCGAAUUUGAAAACAUAUAAUUUGAAACUAUAAUUUUUUUUAAAAAAAUUAUUUUAUUUUCAUUUAUAUAUUUGGAGUAUAAUGGUCUCUUGCCUCUUUAAUGAAGUAUUUUGGUCAUUUUUCUCAUUGGAAGCUAUUUUACUAUCAAAUACUUGCAUAAUGGACAGAUUGAUAGGAGGAAAACUAGACUGGUAGCAAGAGGGUUCACACAUACAUAUGGAGAGGAUUAUAUUGACACUUUUGCACCAGUAGCCAAGCUUCAUACAAUCCGGAUUGUGUUGUCCAUUGCAACAAACUUGGAGUGGGAUUUGUGGCAGAUGGAUGUGAAGAAUGCUUUUCUGCAAGGUGAGCUAGAAGAUGACGUAUAUAUGCUUCCCCCUCCUGGUCUUGAGCAUCUAGUGAAGCCAGGAAAUGUUUUGAGAUUGAAGAAGGCUAUAUAUGGGCUGAAGCAGUCUCCUAGAGCUUGGUACAGAAAGCUUAGUACAACUCUCAAUGGGAGAGGGUUCAGGAAGUCUGAACAAGAUCAUACACUCUUCACACUGGUCGGACCAUCAGGGAUCAUAGUGGUUUUGGUGUAUGUGGAUGAUUUGAUUAUCACAGGGAGUGAUAAGGCUGGGAUUAAAGCCACCAAAGAGUUUCUCAAGUCUGUGUUUGAUAUUAAAGACUUGGGAGAGAUGAAGUAUUUUUUGGGGAUUGAGAUAUGCAGAUCUAAGGAGGGUUUGUUUAUGUCUUUGCGGAGGAGCACAAGGAUAAGGAGGGAUCCUUCCAACUGGGUAAACACGAGAGUGUACUACAAUGCCCAGGCUGUGGAGCAUCCCUCUCAAGCCGUGUGUUCCUUUGCAGAGUUUCCAGAAGAGCACAUGGUGUUUAUGUGUAACUUGGAUGAGAAUGAGAUACCAAGAUCUUAUGAAGAAGCUAUGAAGCACAAGGUUUGGAGAGAUUCAGUAGGAGAUGAAAGGGAUGCAAUGAUCAGGAAUGAUACUUGGUAUGAGAGUGAGUUACCUAAAGGGAAGAAGGCAGUUUCAAGCAGAUGGAUCUUCACCAUCAAGUACCUUGCAAAUGGGGAGAUAGAUAGGCGCAAGACUAGGCUGGUUGCAAGAGGAUUUACACAGACUUAUGGGGAAGAUUACAUUGAUACUUUUGCACCAGUGGCCAAGCUUCACACAAUUCGAAUUGUGUUAUCUAUUGCAACAAACUUGGAGUGGGAUUUGUGGCAGAUGGAUGUGAAGAAUGCUUUCUUACAAGGUGAGCUAGAAGAUGAGGUAUAUAUGCUUCCCCCUCCUGGUCUUGAGCAUCUAGUGAAGCCAGGAAAUGUUUUGAGAUUGAAGAAGGCUAUAUAUGGGCUGAAGCAGUCUCCUAGAGCUUGGUACAGAAAGCUUAGUACAACUCUCAAUGGGAGAGGGUUCAGGAAGUCUGAACAAGAUCAUACACUCUUCACACUGGUCGGACCAUCAGGGAUCAUAGUGGUUUUGGUGUAUGUGGAUGAUUUGAUUAUCACAGGGAGUGAUAAGGCUGGGAUUAAAGCCACCAAAGAUUUUCUCAAGUCUGUGUUUGAUAUUAAAGACUUGGGAGAAAUGAAGUAUUUUUUGGGGAUUGAGAUAUGCAGAUCUAAGGAGAGUUUGUUUAUGUCUAAAAGGAAGUACACUAUGGAUAUGCUGAAGGAGACUGAUGUGCUUGGAGGAAAGAUAGCUAAGACACCCCUUGAGGAAGGGUAUAAGGUCUUGCGUGAGGGAGAUGUUGAAUAGAACCAGUUGUUUGAGGAUGUUAAGCUGUAUAGGAGGAUGGUUGGUAAGCUGAUCUACUUGACUAUCACCAUACCUGAUAUAUGCUUUGCUGUGAAUCAAGUGAGCCAGCAUAUGAAGGCUCCAAAGGUACAUCACUGGAAGAUGAUUGAUAGGAUACUGAGGUAUUUGAGUGGCUCGCAUGGACAAGGAGUUUGGAUGGGUUGCAAUGGCAAUACAGAAGUGGUGGACUAUUGUGAUGCUGAUUGGGCAGGAGAUGGAGUGGAAAGGAGAUCAACUACUGGCUAUUGUACAUCAUUGGAGGGAACCUGGUUACUUGGAGGAGUAAGAAGCAGAAGGUCAUCUCCUGUUCAAGUGCAGAGGCUGAGUAUAGAGCUAUGUUUGAAGCUGACAAACGAGUUGGUAUGGAUCAAGGGUAUCUUGAAGCAUCUGGAGAUUGAGCAGAGUACUCCUAUGACAAUGCACUGUGACAAUCAAGCGGUUAUUCACAUUGCUUCUAACUCAGUCUUUCAUGAGAAGACAAAGCAUAUAGAAGUUGAUUGCCACAAGGUGAGGCAGAUGAUUAUCCUAGGAGUGAUACUGCCAUGUUAUACAAGAAGUGAAGACCAGCUUGCAGAUGUGUUUACUAAGGCAGCGAGAUGAAAGACAAUGGAGUCCAUACUAUCCAGGCUUGGACUCAUUGAUCUUACUCCCAGGAGCUGAUCCCCUCGUCACGAGAUAUCCACUCUUUUUCCCUCAUCAAAGUUUUAUCCCAUUGGGUUUUCUUUGAUGAGGUUUUUAAUGAGGGAAGAUCUCAUGACAAUCCAAGCUUGACUUGUUCCACAUGGUCAAGCUUGAGGGGGAGUGUUAAGAUGGAGAUCAGGAAGUAAAGAGAUGAAGCUUUGAGGUUCAAUAGAGUGUUGAGGCUGAGACAGUAACUUUAGAGUUUUAAUGUGGUAACUUUAUUUUAACCACAGUAACUACUUGGGAAGUUACCUGAUGUGAUGAGAAGUUACCUUGGUGAAGAAAAGAGAAGAAAUUCGUCCAAGGAGUGUCAAGGAUAAGGUCUCUCUUGGCUGGAAAGGAUAAGCACCUUUACAGCAAGUGACAGCCUGUCCAAACAUGUGAA
rnacentral:lncRNA from 1 species